rnacentral:rRNA from 1 species
UUUUAACGGCUGCGGUAUUUUGACCGUGCUAAGGUAGCAUAAUCAAUUGUUUUUUAAUUGAAAACUAGUAUGAACGGUUUAAUUUACUUAAUUAGUUUGUAAUUUUUAAUAGUAAGUUAAAUAUAAAGUAAGAAUUCUUUAAUAAAUUAGGGGACGAUAAGACCCUAAAAGCUUUAUGAUUGGCAUUUAAUUAGUGAUAGCGGUGUUAUUAAUUCACUGGGGCAGUGAGUUUAGGUAUAUUUAAGUAUAAUUAAAAGCUCCUUUAAAUAAAGAUUUCAUGUAUAAGUUACUUUAGGGAUAACAGUGCAAUAUAUUUGGGGAGACCAUAUCUAUAAAUAUGAUUGCAACCUCGAUGUUG